rnacentral:miRNA from 1 species
AACCGCUGUUUAGGCGGAGUGG